rfam:Triticum aestivum genome assembly, contig: Triticum_aestivum_CS42_TGACv1_scaffold_603277_7DL
UGUGUACUCCCUCCGUCUGAAAAAGCUUGUCCCUCAAAUGGAUGUAUCUAGCACUAACUUGGUGCUAGAUACAUCUAUUUGAAGGACAAGCUUUUUCGGACGGAUGGGAGUAUUAC